rnacentral:lncRNA from 1 species
CUAAAUGGCAAUCAAGAUUUGGCCUCAUCUUGCCCGAGUUAAGGGUGGCCAUCCUCUGCCUCAUUUGAAAAAUCACCAUGGAGCAAGCUGGAAUUAAAUAAGUACCAUAACUCUCAUCCCAUAUCUCCUGCACUAGAAGAGGAAAACACUCCAGUGUCAUCACCCCAAGCUGCUGCUCUCCAUAAGAUUCAAAUUCUGUGAGCAGCACCAAGGAGAUCCUGUUUACUUGUGCUUUUAUACAUUGGUUUCAUUUCUGGAGAGUUGGACCCAUGUUUCUGACAGCAAACAGAGUUCAAACAUAACCCAGGCCCCUCAACAGAGUUUUCCAUCCACCUGUGGAUUUUCACCAGGGGCUGAAGGCAAUUAGCUGCCAGUGCCCAUAUUUCAGCUAAUGGUGAAUUGUCCUUCCCUUUGGCUGUAGUACAAAACCUGAAGUCUGGUUUUUCCCCACUCACUGCCCAGGUAUAGAAGAGCCAAUGAAUGUGUGUAGCUGAGGCAGGAGUCGCUAGCAGCUCACUUCACACAGCUCUGCAGAGCACAGAUUCCUGGUCUAGUUCAUCCACUUCCUCUCAAACAUUCUUC